CGGGGAGAGAAUCAAGUAUUUUUAUUAUUCCUUUUUUUCCUCUCUUGUUUUAACUUAUUGGUUAUCAGCUUUAAGAGAUGGGGUCUCACUCUGUUGCCUAGCCUGGAGUGCAGUGACUAUUCACAGGUCUUUCUUGGGGUUUCAACCAAGAGUUUGGGCUUUGUUUUUCUAUCUCCUCAGUACCACGCUGCUGCAAAAUUCUUUGCCCAGCUCUUCAGCCUCCCAGCUCCUGUUUUUCUUUUGGUUCUCCUGCAGUCUCUGCCUGUGCUUGCUCAGCUUAGGAGUUUGAAAACAUCUCAAGGAGAGAUUGCAUGUAGCCUUUUUGGGUUUAUUUCUCUGCAACUCUCUCCUCCUUGAGAUUUUACUAUCAAGUCGCAGCCACUUGAGCAGCUUUGAACUCCAAUCUGUCUCUUCAGCCUAAUGGAACCGCCACUUACUUUAUUCCCUGACCUGUGAGUUGGGCCAGGGUGAGUAUCGAGAUCCCUUUGAUGUGCCUCCCUUCUCUUAGGGAUCAUCUGCCUUGGUUGCCCUCCAAUGCCUUCAAAUGUGCUAUAUACUUAGUCCAUCGGUUACAGUUGUUUUCAAUGGGAGGGUUAGCUCAAUAUAAGCUACUCUAUUAUGGCUGGAAUCAAAAAUCUUCUACUUUACGAUAAAUAAAAAAUCUAAAAGAAUUCAAAAGACUGGAAUAAGGAAAUUACAAAAACAUAAAAACUGAAUCACAGAUUACAAACUUCAGUCCUAGUCUAAAGCCCAUCCUUAAGUCUUCUGAAUUCAGCACUCUGUUUAGAACAAACGCACUGUUUUCUCAUCUUCAGUUUGGUUCUUUGGCAAGAGCUUUAACCUAGGCUAAGAAAGUCAGGGUUUGGUUUCUGGACUUUUAUAUAAAAAGUAUGUGAUUCUGGACAAACUUCUUUUUAUCACUUAGUUUUGUCACUAGUCAGGGAAGAUGGCCCUUAAAGCCUGCUUGCCUUAAGUUCUUUAAGGAAUAAGCUGGAUAUAAGUAAAUAAAUAAAUACAAUGUAAAGUCCUUGCCCUUUCUUCCUUGCAGAGUUGGUAUGAGGUCAGCUUAGCUGUAGAGGCAAAGUUCACAAGGGUGCCUUCCCCAUAGGGAUGUGGGUGCUUUUACAAAUUUUCCAGCUCUUGGACAAUUUUUUCUCAUGCUCUACUUUUCUUUUAUCCCCUAAUUAGAGCUGUGAAUUAGACAAAAACAUGAUUGCAAUUUCCUCCCCCAUCUGGAUCAGAUUGUCCUGUCUAACCUCUAAAAUAAAAGAGAACACAGGUGUUUGAGUGGGAUGCUGGGUCGGGAGAGCUGGUUGGCCAGGUGAGCCUGACCAGAGAAAACUCCCUGUGGACAGGCCAGAUAGGACCCCAAACUAUCAGAAAGGUUUUGGUCAAUGUGGAAUCUGAACAAAAAGAGCUAUUUAUGUAAUUCAAAAGUAGAACAGUAUUAAGUUCAGGCAGACAGAUGGAUGUGUUCUCAUGAUUGGAAUGACCUUUUGGACUGAAUGUUGGGGACUGAUGGGACAUGCCUUCAGAGGCACAGCCUCACUUUGUCUCUGACUCUGCUUUUUCUAGGCUUUGUGUCUGACAAUCCCCUUCUAGUUGUCAUAUCCUCCUUUAGGUGUUUUACCAACUUCAGCUUGGUUGGUAUCCUGCUUGUCUCCUCAUGGUCACCUUAUGUCUCUGCCCCGGUGCUUUAUGUGUUCAAUUUACAUUGUUUUUAGAGCACAUUGUUGCUUUCUGUUCCCAAAUUUGCAGGGAGGACCUUAUGAUAAUCCCCAUGUCCACAGUGCAUAAUGGACCAGGAGCUUUAUGUUUUAUCUCCUGAUCUUCACUCCAGUCUGGAAGGUCAUCAGCUUCAUUUCCACAAAGAUGUGGAAGCUGAGGAUGAUACAGGCUAAGGAUCUGCCCAAGGUUGGACAGCUUGAAUGUCACAGAGUUUGUGUUCAAACUGAGGGCUUACCCCAAACUCAAAGUUCUGCCUGCUGCUGCUGAGUAAGCACCAGAUUGUGAAUUACUCCGAAUUUUCAAGUCACCUGUAGAGGAAAGGGGAACUAAAAGAAAAAGUGGUUUAGUCAAACAAAAAACUUCCCAAUGUAGCAUACCUUUAUGUCUCUUUGCCUUAAUUUGUGUUUCUUUUCCUAGAAUCCCAUCUGUUUGUAUCUAUUGAAUACCUACUAUGUGCCAGAAACACAUAGUAAUACAAAAGACGUGAAGGCUAUAAUCUAGUAAGAGUGUAAUUGGUACAACCUGUGAAGAUGGUGGCCCUGUGGCUCUCAGCACCUGAUCAAUGAUCCCUUCACUCUUAACAUCACAAAACAGAGAAAUGCAAUCGUCCUGACAUGGCUCUUCCUGACAACCUGGGUACCCCACUGCCUCUAGCCACACCUUGCUUCUGAGACAAAUAGGGAACUUUAAUUUGGGCUCCCGAGUGGAAAUAACAGUCAUCAAGAACAGAAGGCUCAGGCUGGGUGUGGUGGCUCAUGCCUGUAAUCCCAGCACUUUGGGAGGCCACGGUGGG